rnacentral:rRNA from 1 species
UUCGCAAUGCCCGAAAGGGUGACGAAGCGACGCCGCGUGCGGGAAGAAGGCCUUCGGGUUGUAAACCGCUGUCGGGAGUUAAGAAAUGCAAGGGUGUUAACAGCAUCCUUGCUUGACUAAGGCUCCGGAGGAAGCCACGGCUAACUCUGUGCCAGCAGCCGCGGUAAUACAGAGGCGGCAAGCGUUGUUCGGAAUUAUUGGGCGUAAAGAGCACGUAGGCGGCUGUGUAAGUCGGUUGUGAAAGCCUUCCGCUCAACGGGAGAACGGCAUCCGAUACUGCAUGGCUUGAGUGCGGGAGGGGAGAGUGGAACUUCUGGUGGAGCGGUGAAAUGCGUAGAUAUCAGAAGGAACACCGGCGGCGAAGGCGACUCUCUGGCCCGUAACUGACGCUGAGUGUGCGAAAGCUAGGGGAGCAAACGGAAUUAGAUACCCCGGUAGUCCUAACUGUAAACGAUGGGCACUAAGUAGAGGGGUUUU